ensembl:lncRNA
UUUGAAAUAGUUGCCCCUCAAUGGUUGAAUGCGGUGGUUCUCCCUUCUGCACGAAGGAAGCAAAACGUUGAAGAAAAAAUGUGGACUUCUUAAAAGACUCCUUCCAAUUGUUCUUCUCCCUCUUCUAUCACAGUGCUUUGAGAGAAAAUGCUUUGUACGACGGCACUGAAGUGAUCUUCAUCUGAUAAAGGCUAAAUUGAGUUAUCCCAGAGGCCGAAGUUUGUUGGGAUUAAUUUGACGCGUCUCUCUACGUCAAUUUUACCACGCUGGAGUUCUGGUUUUGUUUCUUUGGCAGUCCUGACCGUGGAUAGGCUGUUGCUCACAUGCACCAUCCGGUUUGCGCAAUUCAACCUCUCUCUGUAUUUUACAUAGGGACUAAGUGACUGAGGGGAAACAUUUUAUUGAACACGAUGCAUUGGUAAAUAGAAAAUACAUUGUAAACCAUUGAAGAGAUUCUUUCGAAUGAGUUGCGUUUUUUGGUCCAUUGCGGAACCAACUGACCGCCGGUGCGUCCCGCCUUGGAGCUCGCUCAUGAUGUGUUUCGCGCGCCAUAAGAGGCCGGAACUAGCAAACCAUGGGAAUCGCAUAAUAGUGUCACAUGAAGUUUCGAUUACAACCCAGACCAAGGGACUCACUAACCGGUCUUGUAGGGAUCAAGACACAUGGAAUACAUCAGGUUGGGUCACCACAGCAACCUUGGAUGGAGGCGAAGUAUGAGAAGAGGGCGAUCGUUCAUUAAAGUCACAGUGAAGGUACAGUUAGUUAGUGUGGCUCACUGCUCUAAAUGUUAUCUGCUAAAUCAAGCAUAAAGCAUAUGCACGAUUUAAUCUUUCUCAAUAAAUGAACCAUUAUUUCUUGGCUAUCUUGGUGAAGUGAUAGGCUACGUUAUCUGUUUUGUUUAGGUUAUUGACAUUGCUUUGAUUCUGUAGAAUUCUGUUGAAAUCCCUUUUCUAAAUCCAAAGGACUGCACAACAGAACCCAAAUUUUCCCUCAUCUGGAUAGAAUAGGAAUUACACCACCAUCUAGAUUAAAUUUAACCUACUGUACACGACUGUGCAGAUUCCUUGGCUAAAGAGGAUCACUGGAACACAAACAUGUCGCGAUGUAUCAGGUAUAAAUGCAUGUUUCAAAUAUGUUUUUUGAAAAUGUUUUUUGAAAAGAAAGACCAUGUGAAAUAAUUUAAGAUUAAAUGAGAUCGGUAUUAGACUCGUUGCGUGGACGUCCAUUGGUACUUUGGAAGAUGCACAGUAAAACUAUAGAGCUGUUUCUGCCGCUUACUACAGGGCAAAUGACUUAAUACAAUGUGUCGAUUUCUAUCAAUAACCAAAUUACUAAGUAUAUUUAUUCUCAUUCAAGUUUUGUAUUGUGUCUUUAUGAAUGUAUGUCUGAGGAGAUAAUCGUUUAAACGUCUGCACUUUAACGCGGAAGAGAGCACAGCAUUGCAUGUUGUUAAGUGGCAAUAUUACAUAAUGCCAACAAGUUAGUUUAACUUUUUUCCACAGCUUUUUAAAAUUCAUUUCCAUAUUAUCAAAUCAUUAUUUAUGACUAUUUGCACCGUUAUAUAUUUUGUCUAGCAGGUUUACAUUGAUACAAGCAUGGUUUGACUAAUCUUCUUUUACUUCUGGAAUAUUCAUAAACAAUGCUAAAUGUAG